CAAAGCAUUUUAACUCCAUGAUGGAUGCAAGGAGUAAUUGCAGCUGGCUCGUGAUGUCACCACAAAGGGAGUUCAGUGGCAAAAACUUUUGCUAAGACCAGUGACCAUUUCAUCCCCUCCAUGGUUCCUCCUCUCACUUGCAGGAUAAAUCAAUGCUACUUAAGUUAAAGGUUCAAGAAAUCCAACAGCCUUGGUGGUGAUACCUACCACAUGUCCUCUCGGAAAACCAUGGAUCUCCUUCCAGCUCACCUGUCUUCACAGCUCACAAAAAGUCUGUCAAAAAAUACAAAGUUCUGCCCCAAAUCAUGGGCUCCUAAUGGAUUCAUUGGCUCAGAAGCAAAAUGUCACACCACUCAUUCAAAAGAACUAUUCCGAGUAACCUAAUUAACCAAAAGAAACCACGCUCUGAGUGGCUGCUCCUUUACUGGUAUUCUUGAUGGCCAUCUCACUUUAUCCCAUAUUUUCACUCCAUCCCAUAUGUAUUAUUGAUAAAGUAUUAUUAAAUUAUGUAAGAACCAGACUCUUCAGACUUAAUAAAUUUCUACAUGAGUCACUUAAA